rnacentral:piRNA from 2 species
UUGGAUUUUUGUUUUGUUUUCAGACAGGGUC